UCCCCAGAAGCGCUCGGUCUGCCCGAGAAUCCCCCCGCCCCAACAUGCAAACCACGAAAACUUAGAUUGGCUGGUGCAGAUGUCAUCCCUGUCGGCAGAUUUCAGGGAGUAAUCCCUGUUGUCGUCCUGGGCUGCAUCUCCCUAAAGACAAAGACUGCUUCGAUUGUUUCCCUGAGCUAUGCAAGAGUUCCAGUCAUUCGUGCAGCAUCCAUGUUUUUGGAUGGUGAGAUGGAAAAAUGAUGUUAAAGACUAAAUUUUUGUGAUGGAACAGAAGGAUUUCUGGGAAUUUGACCCUAAACUCCCACAAGUCACCGAGAGGAGUGAUGGCAUCCCACAAUACGUAGCAGCAGUCCCACAAUACACUGCAGAAAUUUCUCACAAGGCAAUGCUCCAGAUGGUAGCGCAGAGGACGCGGGGAUGCCUACUACAGCACCAUUUGUCUUCUGUCAGUGCAACCUGAUGUUGUGAAGACACACUGCAACAGCAAAGACAGCCAUAUGUGAACACAUUGUGACAAAAGGAGCUAUGUCAGCAGCUGUAUGCCAGCAAAACUUUUGCCAGUAAAAAUGUCUAAUCGCUUUCUAGUUUCUAGGUCUUAGUUUACUUGUAGCUGCUAUUACAUGGUGUAGUUACAAACUUUCAGCCCCAAUAUCUUGCACGGGCACACAGGUAUACAACUACAGUAUUUUAGUCAUGACUGUAAAUUACUAUCCCAUAAUGAGAAAAUAUCUAGACAUGUGGAAGCAUAGUAUGUCAUGGACAGAAGCAGAUGCUUCAGCACAUUGCAAGAAAAAUGAAGUUGGUUUCAACAACCUUAAUUUCAUGAAUAUAAAGAAUAAUCCUCUGUCCAUUAAAAUAUACACACUUCUAAAAUACUAUUGGAAGCAAGGCCAAUUUCAAUAAAGCACAGAAAUACUGUACACAAGAUAUUAUGUGAUAUGGCAUUGAGCUGAAAAUCUGUGUAGAAACACAAAGUUGCAGAAACCUUGCUGGAAAAACUUUAACUGAAAAUCAUAAAUAACUUCAAAUAAAACAGUCAUUAGGCACAUCAAAAGACGAGAAUGGGCAAAGUAAUUGGAAUUUAUAAACUUACAUAAUUAUUUUUUCUUUGUAGGGAGAACAAACAUUCCAAUGUCCCAGCUCUGUCAGGGUCUUUGACAAUUAGACUCCUUUUUAUAAAUAUAUUAUGUAAGUUUAUAAAUUUCAAUUAGUGCUUGUCCUUGUGUCUUGCAGCCUAAGUAUGUUUUCAUUUUGGGUUAUUAUUCAGACAGUGGAUGGAACCGUUUUCCUUGGUGCAUCUAUAAGGUGAUUUCGAUGAAAAUCCUUUUAACAAAAUUAAAAAAAAUUGGAUUAUAGUUUGACUACUAAGAUUCAGGAAAAGAAACAUGAAUUUGCUUUUACACUGCAGAGUUCAAUAGAAUAUGUCUAUACGAUAGAGUGAUAGAUCAAUAGAUUCUAUACGUAACAGAGUUACCCUAUCCAAGGGUGGGCAUUCUGAAUGUAUAAAUAACUGUACUACUAUGAGUUCAAGAUUAUGCUAUAUAUCAUUUAUAUUAAUUUCCCCCUACUUUUGCAGUAAGGUCUCAGAUUUGACCUACAGCCUUGAUAUUACAAAGUACUUGAUCCUGAAUCUGCAAAACAUAAGCAUGUACUUAAUGAGUUGGCUCAUAUCCUUAGGUGGUGUAAAUUAGCAUAGCUCCGUUAACUGAAGUAGACUACUCAGAUGCAUAGGGUUAAGCAUAUGCAGGAUCAGGCAACAAACAUGCAAAUAUGCAGUGAUUUGGUAGAUUUACCAGCAUUUACCAGGCUAAAUCUCAUUGGCAGAAUUUGUCAAUUUCUAAAAUUUGAUUUAUUUAUUCACCAUGAGCAUAUCCAUUCCUUAGAGGUCUUGUUCCACUAAAGUUCCCUGAAGAAAACUUAUAAUUUACUUAUUCUGAUUAUGCCAGAGUUCUUAACUUAAGCUCUAAGCACAUAAAAUCAGUCUUCAGUUAAAUUCAUUAUUCAGUUACCCAUGAUAUAAUGUUAAUAUUAAAACAUGGUGUUCAGUAUAUUAUUUUAUUUGCCUA